UUUUUACGUUUUACAGUCCAUUUUGCAAAUGAACAUCCCUAAUUAGGCUAUAUUAUCUGGGGAUUAACACCAUGAACAAUACAUGAGUGUCUUUAUGUAAGAUGAUGAAGUGUUGAAGUGUCAGUAGACAAUGGGGGUUUGACUUGUUGCUGUGAAUAUCUUACUUGAGAAAUGAAAAUGAAAUACACUAAUAAGAAAGUGUACUGAUAUAGUACCUGUCUUCACAAUAGAUAUUCACUACCGUCUACAGUGACUAUUGUGCUUUCAGUCUCUUUACCUUGACCUAUAUACACUGUGGUAUAAAGUCAGCAGUGUUCAACGGAUUCAAAUGGUUUGUUUUGAUCACUUUUACCACAGUGAUGAAUGUUAUUCACUUUAUUAUAGCAUCACCUGACUUUAUAGAAACAUAUUGUUGUCAUAUAGCCUUUAUAUACCUCAAGUUCUCAUUACUGACUAUCAAGUAACGUUCAGAGGUGUUGCUCACAGUAUAGUGUUCAACAAUCUAAUUGCCAAGAUUGAUGGAGUUUGGUGAUGUUGUAUUAUUUAGUUAAUGUUGUAUUGUCUAGUUAUAAUGUUGUAUUGUCUAGUUAUAAUGUUGUAUUGUGUCAUUAUAAUGUUGUAUUGUCUAGUUAUAAUGUUGUAUUGUCUAGUUAUAUUGUUUUAUUGUGUAAUUAUAAUGUUGUAUUGUCUAGUUAUAAUGUUGUAUUCUCUAGUUAUAAUGUUGUAUUGUCUAAUUAUAUUGUUUUAUUGUGUAAUUAUAAUGUUGUGUUGUAUAGUUAUAAUGUUGUAUUGUCUAGUUAUAUUGUUUUAUUGUGUAAUUAUAAUUUUGUAUUGUCUAGUUAUAAUGUUGUAUUGUCUAGUUAUAAUGUUGUGUUGUCUAGUUAUAAUGUUGUGGUGUCUAGUUAUGAUGUUGUAUUGUCUAGUUAUAUUGUUUUAUUGUGUAAUUAUAAUGUUGUGUUGUCUAGUUAUAAUGUUGUGUUGUCUAGUUAUAAUGUUGUAUUGUCUAGUUGAUGUUGUAUUGCCUAGUUAUAAUGUUGUAUUGCUUAGUUAUAAUGUUGCAUGGUCUAGUUAUAAUGUUGUAUUGUGUAGUUAUAAUGUUGUGGUGUCUAGUUAUAAUGUUGUGGUGUCUAGUUAUGAUGUUGUAUUGUCUAGUUAUAUUGUUUUAUUGUGUAAUUAUAAUGUUGUUUUGUCUAGUUAUAAUGUUGUGUUGUCUAGUUAUAAUGUUGUGUUGUCUAGUUAUAAUGUUGUAUUGUCUAGUUAAUGUUGUGUUGUCUAGUUAUAAUGUUGUGUUGUCUAGUUAUAAUGCUGUGUUGUCUAGUUAUAAUGUUGUAUUGUCUAGUUAAUGUUGUGUUGUCUAGUUAUAAUGUUGUGUUGUCUAGUUAUAAUGUUGUGUUGUCUAGUUAUAAUGUUGUAUUGUCUAGUUAAUGUUGUAUUGUCUAGUUAUAAUGUUGUGUUGUCUAGUUAUAAUGUUGUAUUGUCUAGUUAAUGUUGUGUUGUCUAGUUAUAAGGUUGUGUUGUAUAGUUAUAAUGUUGUGUUGUCUAGUUAUAAUGUUGUGUUGUCUAGUUAUAAUGUUGUAUUGUCUAGUUAUAAUGUUGUAUUGUCUAGUUAAUGUUGUGUUGUCUAGUUAUAAGGUUGUGUUGUAUAGUUAUAAUGUUGUGUUGUCUAGUUAUAAUGUUGUGUUGUCUAGUUAUAAUGUUGUAUUGUCUAGUUAAUGUUGUGUUGUCUAGUUAUAAGGUUGUGUUGUAUAGUUAUAAUGUUGUGUUGUCUAGUUAUAAUGUUGUGUUGUCUUGUUAUAAUGUUGUAUUGUCUAGUUAUAAUGUUGUGUUGUCUAGUUAUAAUAUUGUGUUGUCUAGUUAUAAUGUUGUGUUGUCUAGUUAUAAUGUUGUGUUGUCUAGUUAAUGUUGUGUUGUCUAGUUAUAAUGUUGUAUUGUCUACUUAAUGUUGUGUUGUAUAGUUAUAAUGUUGUGUUGUCUAGUUAUAAUGUUGUGUUGUCUUGUUAUAAUGUUGUAUUGUCUAGUUAUAAUGUUGUGUUGUCUAGUUAUAAUAUUGUGUUGUCUAGUUAUAAUGUUGUAUUGUGUAGUUAUAAUGUUGUGGUGUCUAGUUAUAAUGUUGUGGUGUCUAGUUAUGAUGUUGUAUUGUCUAGUUAUAUUGUUUUAUUGUGUAAUUAUAAUGUUGUUUUGUCUAGUUAUAAUGUUGUGUUGUCUAGUUAUAAUGUUGUGUUGUCUAGUUAUAAUGUUGUAUUGUCUAGUUAAUGUUGUGUUGUCUAGUUAUAAUGUUGUGUUGUCUAGUUAUAAUGCUGUGUUGUCUAGUUAUAAUGUUGUAUGGUCUAGUUAAUGUUGUGUUGUCUAGUUAUAAUGUUGUGUUGUCUAGUUAUAAUGUUGUGUUGUCUAGUUAUAAUGUUGUAUUGUCUAGUUAAUGUUGUAUUGUCUAGUUAUAAUGUUGUGUUGUCUAGUUAUAAUGUUGUAUUGUCUAGUUAAUGUUGUGUUGUCUAGUUAUAAGGUUGUGUUGUAUAGUUAUAAUGUUGUGUUGUCUAGUUAUAAUGUUGUGUUGUCUAGUUAUAAUGUUGUAUUGUCUAGUUAUAAUGUUGUAUUGUCUA